rnacentral:sRNA from 1 species
AGAGUCAUACGACACAGGGCUUCAUUGAACACAGUCGAAUCAUUGAGUGUUAGAGCAACUGUAUCUCGUCCCGGAGCUCGGGUGACAUCUAUCAGGGGUCAGGAACUCAACUCCUGCAUAUUUGCUUGUGAAUUGGAGAACUUGAGUCAGGUUCAAGUACAACGUCCUCAUGUGCAGGAGUUGCAGAUCACUCAAGUUUCAUGUGUUAGCCCAAACUGGACAUUGGUCAGUCUAGGAGCUAAACACCACUCUGGUGUGCGUUUAGGCAGUCGAGAAACACUUCAGUUGGUCUUGAAAGGACUAAAGCAAGAACAAGAAGAAGGUUGUAAGAACUUAAUCUUCAGUGAAGUUGCUUUUGACAAGGAUCAAGUCAAUACCUCAUGCAGCCCUUGCUCAGAUUUCUUUGUCCGCAGCUGGCUGUGUCACCAGGCCAUCACAGGGAGCACGCCACCCGAGAGAGAGGACUGGUCAGACUGUGCGUUGAAGAAAUCAGCAGCAGA